rnacentral:rRNA from 1 species
UGGGGAAUAUUGGACAAUGGGCGAAAGCCUGAUCCAGCGAUGCCGCGUGUGUGAAGAAGGCCUGCGGGUUGUAAAGCACUUUCAGUGUGGAGGAAGGGAGUUAGUUUAAUAAACUGGCUUUUUGACGCUACACACAGAAGAAGCACCGGCUAACUCUGUGCCAGCAGCCGCGGUAAUACAGAGGGUGCAAGCGUUAAUCGGAAUGACUGGGCGUAAAGGGCGUGUAGGCGGAUGUAUAAGUUAGAUGUGAAAUCCCUGGGCUUAACCUAGGUAGGUCAUCUAAUACUGUGCAUCUAGAGUGCAGGAGAGGGAAGUGGAAUUUCCGGUGUAGCGGUGAAAUGCGUAGAUAUCGGAAGGAACACCAGUGGCGAAGGCGGCUUUCUGGCCUGACACUGACGCUGAGGCGCGAAAGCGUGGGUAGCGAACAGGAUUAGAUACCCCGGUAGUCCCUGAGCGGGCUGGCAAGGCGCAU